rnacentral:piRNA from 1 species
UUAUCAUAGUUUUUUCAUAGU